UACGGGAGGCAGCAGUGGGGAAUAUUGCACAAUGGGCGCAAGCCUGAUGCAGCCAUGCCGCGUGUAUGAAAAAGGCCUUCGGGUUGUAAAGUACUUUCAGUCGUGAGGAAGGUGUUAAGGUUAAUAACCUUAGCAAUUGACGUUAGCGACAGAAGAAGCACCGGCUAACUCCGUGCCAGCAGCCGCGGUAAUACGGAGGGUGCGAGCGUUAAUCGGAAUUACUGGGCGUAAAGGGCACGCAGGCGGUUAAUUAAGUUGGAUGUGAAAUCCCCGGGCUUAACCUGGGAAUGGCAUUCAAGACUGGUUAGCUAGAGUCUUGUAGAGGGGGUAGAAUUCCAUGUGUAGCGGUGAAAUGCGUAGAGAUGUGGAGGAAUACCGGUGGCGAAGGCGGCCCCUGGACAAGACUGACGCUCAUGUGCGAAAGCGUGGGGAGCGAAACAGGGAUUAGAUACC
rnacentral:rRNA from 1 species